UUUGGGUAUUUCUACACUUCGAGUCGGGUUCGGGUAUUUUAUGUUCGGGUUCGGAUAUUUUGGGUCGGGUUUGGAUAUUUAAAUUUUGAAGAAAAAAUAAAUAAAUUAUUCAUUGUUUAUGUUUUUUGUAUUUAAAAUAUAUUUUAACUUAACUGGUUUUCUAAUUUUUAAAAGAUUAACCUAUUAAUAGGUUUGGAGAUAAAACUUUAAAAUAGAAAAACACGAAUUUAGUUGUUGUUAUGAAAUUUUAGAUGCAACUUUAUUAAUGCAAGAAACAAAAGCUUGAUAUGUAUUUUAAGUGAAUAGCAAAUGAUUUUGUCCAUAAUUAUAUGUAUAUUAUUUUAGG
rnacentral:lncRNA from 1 species